UACGUAGGGGGCUAGCGUUGUCCGGAAUCAUUGGGCGUAAAGAGCGUGUAGGCGGCUCGGUAAGUCCGCUCUGAAAGCCCGGGGCUCAACCCCGGGAGGCGGGCGGAUACUGUCGGGCUAGAGUCCGGAAGAGGCGAGUGGAAUUCCUGGUGUAGCGGUGAAAUGCGCAGAUAUCAGGAGGAACACCAAUAGCGAAGGCAGCUCGCUGGGACGGUACUGACGCUGAGGCACGAAAGCGUGGGGAGCAAACAGG
rnacentral:rRNA from 1 species